rnacentral:lncRNA from 1 species
GACAAGAGAGCUGUGUGAGACUUUGAGAGAGAGUCUACAAACAUUGUUUGUAUAUGUUUGUAUCUGUUCUCAUCCCUAAUCAAUAGAUAUUGAAUCUUUUGGUUACGCGUGUUCUUAUUUUACACUUUGUUUGGUUUGCACCGUCACGGGGUUUCCGCACCCGUUACCGUGUUCGUGAUAAACAAGGAUAGGUUUACGUUAUCGAUCCACCGGAACGGGACCUACAAUUGGUAUCAGAGCUUUGGCUCUAAUCCUUGUUUUAAAACCAAACAAGUUUGGGUUUUUAUCAAGUGGUUUUUGGUGAAUUUUUCAGAUUUUGUUCCUUAAAAGUUUUUAUAUUUUCUAAAAAAGGUUCAAAAAUCAGGUUUAAAUCUUUGAAAAUCUUGUGUUUUUGCUGUUUGUUCUUAUAAAAAUCUUGCUAGAUUUCAUUUUUACAUGUUUAGAAAGGAUUUUUAUUGAACAUUGUGCAAAAUCGUUGUUCGGAAAUUUUGUCGUUUGGCCGGAAUCAUCAUAAACUCAACUGAGUUCAUCUUUGUUCUUCAUUGUUCUUAAUAUAUUCUGGGCUUUUGACUUGAAUCUGCCUUGUCUCAUUUGUGUUAAUUAUUGAUGUUUGUGUCAGUGGAUAAGGUGCUUUUGAAAAAGUUGGCCAUUGUACAGUGAAAAGUGAUAAGGUGUGGUUUGAAAAAGGAUCACCAAGUUGUGUACUUGUGUCAGUGAUUGGAUUUGUUUGUUUUUUUAAAAUAUCUAAAAUCAGUUUUCGUCACACUCAUACACAUUUUCCCCACACAAUUGUCAUUUUCGUCAACCUCACAAACAUACCAGAUUUCGUUUAUCAACGUAAAUCUGUUUCGUUGACACCUAUAAUUCAUUUUCGUCGUCAAAUUCAAAUCAUUUCAGUUUCGUCGCAACUUU